UCUGACCGAGCAACGCCGCGUGAGUGAAGAAGGUUUUCGGAUCGUAAAACUCUGUUGUUAGAGAAGAACGUUGCAUAGAGUGGAAAAUUAUGCAAGUGACGGUAUCUAACCAGAAAGGGACGGCUAACUACGUGCCAGCAGCCGCGGUAAU
rnacentral:rRNA from 1 species